rnacentral:rRNA from 1 species
GACGAACGCUGGCGGCGUGCUUAACACAUGCAAGUCGAACGGUAAGGCCCUUCGGGGUACACGAGUGGCGAACGGGUGAGUAACACGUGGGUGAUCUGCCCUGCACUUCGGGAUAAGACUGGGAAACUGGGUCUAAUACCGGAUAGGACCACUGCCUGCAUGGGUGGUGGUGGAAAGCUUUUGCGGGGUGGGAUGGGCCCGCGGCCUAGCAGCUUGUUGGUGGGGUGAUGGCCUACCAAGGCGACGACGGGUAGCCGGCCUGAGAGGGUGACCGGCCACACUGGGACUGAGAUACGGCCCAGACUCCUACGGGAGGCAGCAGUGGGGAAUAUUGCACAAUGGGCGCAAGCCUGAUGCAGCGACGCCGCGUGAGGGAUGACGGCCUUCGGGUUGUAAACCUCUUUCAGCACCGACGAAGCGCAAGUGACGGUAGGUGCAGAAGAAGGACCGGCCAACUACGUGCCAGCAGCCGCGGUAA